rnacentral:rRNA from 1 species
GUAGGUGGCAAGCGUUGUCCGGGAAUUAUUGGGGCGUAAAGCGCGCGCAGGCGGUUCUUUAAGUCUGAUGUGAAAGCCCACGGGCUCAACCGUGGAGGGUCAUUGGAAACUGGAGAACUUGAUACAGAAGAGGAAAGCGGAAUUCCACGUGUAGCGGUGAAAUGCGUAGAGAUGUGGAGGAACACCAGUGGCGAAGGCGGCUUUCUGGUCUGUAACUGACGCUGAGGCGCGAAAGCGUGGGGAGCAAACAGGAUUAGAUACCCUGGUAGUCCACGCCGUAAACGAUGAGUGCUAAGUGUUAGGGGGUUUCCGCCCCUUAGUGCUGCAGCUAACGCAUUAAGCACUCCGCCUGGGGAGUACGGCCGCAAAGGCUGA